rnacentral:rRNA from 2 species
UGGCGGACGGGUGAGUAAUGUCUGGGAAACUGCCUGAUGGAGGGGAUAACUACUGGAAACGGUAGCUAAUACCGCAUAACGUCGCAAGACCAAAGAGGGGGACCUUCGGGCCUCUUGCCAUCGGAUGUGCCCAGAUGGGAUUAGCUAGUAGGUGGGGUAACGGCUCACCUAGGCGACGAUCCCUAGCUGGUCUGAGAGGAUGACCAGCCACACUGGAACUGAGACACGGUCCAG